rnacentral:rRNA from 2 species
GUCGAGCGGACGGAUGGGAGCUUGCUCCCUGAUGUCAGCGGCGGAAGGGUGAGUAACACGUGGGCCACCUGCCCGUAAGACUGGGAUAACUCCCGGAAACCGGGGCUAAAACCGGAAAAUUCUUUCCCUCACAUGAGGGAAAGCUGAAAGAUGGCUUCGGCUAUUACUUACCGAUGGGCCCGCGGCGCAAUAGCUAGUUGGUGAGGUAACGGCUCACCAAGGCAACGAUUCGUAGCCCACCUGAGAGGGUGAUCGGCCACACUGGGACUGAGACACGGCCCAGACCCCCACGGGAGGCAGCAGUAGGGAAUCUUCCGCAAUGGACGAAAGUCUGACGGAACAACGCCCCGGGAGUGAUGAAGGUUUUCGGAUCGUAAAACUCUUUUGUUAGGGAAGAACAAGUACCGGAGUAACUGCCGGUACCUUGACGGUACCUAACCAGAAAGCCACGGCUAACUACGUGCCAGCAGCCGCGGUAUACGUAGGUGGCAAGCGUUGUCCGGAAUUAUUGGGCGUAAAGCGCGCGCAGGCCGUUCCUUAAGUCUGAUGUGAAAGCCCACGGCUCAACCGUGGAGGGUCAUUGGAAACUGGGGAACUUGAGUGCAGAAGAAGAGAGUGGAAUUCCACGUGUAGCGGUGAAUGCGUAGAGAUUUGGAGGAACACAGUGGCGAAGCCACUCUUGGUCUGUACUGACGCUGAGGCGCGAAGCGUGGGGAGCAACAGGAUAGAUACCCGGUAGUCCCGCCGUAACCAUAAUGCUAAUGUUAGAGGGUUCCGCCC